CUUGGUCAUUUAGAGGAAGUAAAAGUCGUAACAAGGUUUCCGUAGGUGAACCUGCGGAAGGAUCAUUAACGAGUUGAACGGGGUUGUAGCUGGCCUUCACGGGCAUGUGCACACCUCACUCAUCCACUCUACACCUGUGCACUUACUGUGGGUUUCGAGAGGCCGCGCUUGCGUGGUUGAUCGGGCUCACGUCUAUUACAAACUCUUCAGUAUCAGAAUGUGUAUCGCGAUGUAACGCAUCUAUAUACAACUUUCAGCAACGAAUCUCUUGGCUCUCGCAUCGAUGAAGAACGCAGCGAAAUGCGAUAAGUAAUGUGAAUUGCAGAAUUCAGUGAAUCAUCGAAUCUUUGAACGCACAUUGCGCCCCCUGGUAUUCCGGGGGGCAUGCCUGUUCGAGCGUCAUUUCACCACUCAAGCCUCGCUUGGUAUUGGGCAACGCGGUCCGCCGCGUGCCUCAAAUCGACCGGCUGGGUCUUCUGUCCCCUAAGCGUUGUGGAAACUAUUCGCUAAAGGGUGUUCGGGAGGCUACGCCGUAAAACAACCCCAUUUCUAAGGUUGACCUCGGAUCAGGUAGGGAUACCCGCUGAGCUUAAGCAUAUCAAUAAGCGGAGGA
rnacentral:rRNA from 1 species